GACGACGCUGGGCGGCGUGCUUAACACAUGCAAGUCGAACGGGAGUAUUGAAGAAGCUUGCUUUAGAGAUACUUUAGUGGCGGACGGGUGAGUAACGCGUGAGGAGCUGUCCUAUGCAGGGGGACAACAGCUGGAAACGGCUGCUAAUACCCCAUAAGCCGAGAGGUAAAAGGAUCAAUCCGGCAGAGGAGGUACUCGCGUCCUAUCAGCUAGUAGGUGAGGUAACGGCUCACCUAGGCGAAGACGGGUAGCCGGCCUGAGAGGGCGAACGGCCACACUGGAACUGAGAUACGGUCCAGACUCCUACGGGAGGCAGCAGUGGGGAAUAUUGGGCAAUGGGGGAAACCCUGACCCAGCGACGCCGCGUGGGUGAAGAAAUCCUUCGGGAUGUAAAGCCCUGUUGUAUGGGAAGAGCGGAAGACGGUACCAUACGAGGAAGCCCCGGCAAACUACGUG
rnacentral:rRNA from 1 species